GACGAACGCUGGCGGCGUGCUUAACACAUGCAAGUCGAGCGGUAAGGCCCUUUCGGGGGUACACGAGCGGCGAACGGGUGAGUAACACGUGGGUGACCUGCCCUCAGCUCUGGGAUAAGCCCGGGAAACUGGGUCUAAUACCGGAUAUGACUUCAUGACGCAUGUUGUGGAGUGGAAAGCCUUGUGCGGCUGAGGAUGGGCCCGCGGCCUAUCAGCUUGUUGGUGGGGNGAUGGCCUACCAAGGCGACGACGGGUAGCCGGCCUGAGAGGGCGACCGGCCACACUGGGACUGAGACACGGCCCAGACUCCUACGGGAGGCAGCGAGGU
rnacentral:rRNA from 1 species